AGAGUUUGAUCCUGGCUCAGGAUGAACGCUAGCUACAGGCUUAACACAUGCAAGUCGAGGGGCAGCGGUAUCGAAAGCUUGCUUUCGGUAGCCGGCGACCGGCGCACGGGUGAGUAACGCGUAUCGAACCUGCCUCAUACUCGGGAAUAGCCUUGCGAAAGUAAGAUUAAUGCCCGGUGUUUUCAGAGUCCCGCAUGAGGCUUUGAACAAAGAUUUAUCGGUAUGAGAUGGCGAUGCGUCCCAUUAGCCUGUUGGCGGGGUAACGGCCCACCAAGGCAUCGAUGGGUAGGGGUUCUGAGAGGAAGGUCCCCCACAUUGGAACUGAGACACGGUCCAAACUCCUACGGGAGGCAGCAGUGAGGAAUAUUGGUCAAUGGGCGGAAGCCUGAACCAGCCAAGUAGCGUGCAGGAAGACGGCCCUCCGGGUUGUAAACUGCUUUUAGUUGGGAAUAAAACGGGGCUCGUGAGCCCCCUUGCAUGUACCAUCAGAAAAAGGACCGGCUAAUUCCGUGCCAGCAGCCGCGGUAAUACGGAAGGUCCGGGCGUUAUCCGGAUUUAUUGGGUUUAAAGGGAGCGCAGGCGGACCUUUAAGUCAGCUGUGAAAUACGGCGGCUCAACCGUCGAACUGCAGUUGAUACUGGAGGUCUUGAGUGCACACAGGGAUGCUGGAAUUCAUGGUGUAGCGGUGAAAUGCUCAGAUAUCAUGAAGAACUCCGAUCGCGAAGGCAGGCAUCCGGGGUGCAACUGACGCUGAGGCUCGAAAGUGCGGGUAUCGAACAGGAUUAGAUACCCUGGUAGUCCGCACGGUAAACGAUGGAUGCCCGCUGUUGGUCUGAAUAGGUCAGCGGCCAAGCGAAAGCAUUAAGCAUCCCACCUGGGGAGUACGCCGGCGACGGUGAAACUCAAAGGAAUUGACGGGGGCCCGCACAAGCGGAGGAACAUGUGGUUUAAUUCGAUGAUACGCGAGGAACCUUACCCGGGCUUGAAUUGCAGAGGAAGGAUUUGGAGACAAUGACGCCCUUCGGGGUCUCUGUGAAGGUGCUGCAUGGUUGUCGUCAGCUCGUGCCGUGAGGUGUCGGCUUAAGUGCCAUAACGAGCGCAACCCCUCUCCUUAGUUGCCAUCAGGUCACGCUGGGCACUCUGGGGACACUGCCACCGUAAGGUGUGAGGAAGGUGGGGAUGACGUCAAAUCAGCACGGCCCUUACGUCCGGGGCUACACACGUGUUACAAUGGCAGGUACAGAGAGAUGGUGUUCUGCAAAGCGCAUCUAAUCCUUAAAGCCUGUCUCAGUUCGGACUGGGGUCUGCAACCCGACCCCACGAAGCUGGAUUCGCUAGUAAUCGCGCAUCAGCCAUGGCGCGGUGAAUACGUUCCCGGGCCUUGCACACACCGCCCGUCA
rnacentral:rRNA from 1 species